rnacentral:rRNA from 1 species
UGAAUACGAGACGCUAAGGCGUCGAAGUAGUGUAUGUCAUACUUCCAAGAAAAGCUUGCACUGUCAUAAGUAAAAAAUGCCUGUACCAUAACCGACACAGGUGGGUAGGUAGAGUAUACUAAGGGGCGCGAGAUAACUCUCUCUAAGGAACUCGGCAAAAUAACUCCGUAACUUCGGGAGAAGGAGUACCUUAUUCUAUAAGGUUGCAAUAACAAGAUCCAAGCAACUGUUUAUCAAAAACACAGGUCUCCGCUAAGUCGUAAGACGAUGUAUGGGGGCUGACGCCUGCCCAGUGCCAGAAGGUUAAAGAAGUCGGUUAGCAUUAGCGAAGCUGGUAACUGAAGCCCUGGUGAACGGCGGCCGUAACCAUAACGGUCCUAAGGUAGCGAAAUUCCUUGUCGGGUAAGUUCCGACCCGCACGAAAGGCGUAAUGAUUUGGAUACUGUCUCGGAGAGGGCUCGGUGAAAUAGACUUGUCUGUGAAGAUGCGGACUACCUGCACCAGGACAGAAAGACCCUAUGAAGCUUUACUGUAACUUGAAAUUGAAAUCGGACUUUAUUCGCGCAGUAUAGGUGGGAGGUGUUGAUUAUAAUCUUGCGGGAUUAUUGGAGCCAUCAGUGAGAUACCACUCUUGUAAUGUUAGAUUUCUAACUUUGAAUCAUUAUCUGGUCAAAGGACAGUUUCAGGCGGGCAGUUUGACUGGGGCGGUCGCCUCCCAAACGGUAACGGAGGCGUACAAAGGUUUCCUCUGAACGGGUAGAAAUCGUAUCUAGAGUGUAAAGGCAUAAGGAAGCUUGACUGUGAGACCUACAAGUCGAACAGGGACGAAAGUCGGUCUUAGUGAUCUGACGGUACUGAGUGGAAAGGCCGUCACUCAACGGAUAAAAGUUACUCUAAGGAUAACAGGCUGAUCUCCCCCAAGAGUUCACAUCGACGGGGAGGUUUGGCACCUCGAUGUCGGCUCAUCGCAUCCUGGGGCGGUUACGUCCCAAGGGUUGGGCUGUUCGCCCAUGAAAGCGGUACGCGAGCUGGGUUCAGAACGUCGUGAGACAGUUCGGUCCAUAUCCGGUGUAGGCGUUAGAAUAUUGAGAGGAGCCUUCUUUAGUACGAGAGGACCGAGAAGGACAUACCUCUGGUGUACCAGUUAUCGUGCCAACGGUAAACGCUGGGUAGCUAUGUAUGGAGUGGAUAACCGCUGAAAGCAUCUAAGUGGGAAGCCCACCUCAAGAUAAGUAUUCUC